UACGGAGGGGGCUAGCGUUGUUCGGAAUUACUGGGCGUAAAGCGCACGUAGGCGGUUUCGCAAGUCAGAGGUGAAAUCCCCAGGCUCAACCUGGGAAUUGCCUUUGUUACUGCGAGACUAGAGGCCGGGAGAGGGUAGUGGAAUUCCCAGUGUAGAGGUGAAAUUCGUAGAUAUUGGGAAGAACACCGGUGGCGAAGGCGGCUACCUGGACCGGUACUGACGCUGAGGUGCGAAAGCGUGGGGAGCAAAC
rnacentral:rRNA from 1 species